rnacentral:rRNA from 1 species
AGUGAACGCUGGCGGUAGGCCUAACACAUGCAAGUCGAACGGCAGCACAGGAGAGCUUGCUCUCUGGGUGGCGAGUGGCGGACGGGUGGGGAAUACAUCGGAAUCUACUUUUUCGUGGGGGAUAACGUAGGGAAACUUACGCUAAUACCGCAUACGACCUACGGGUGAAAGCAGGGGAUCUUCGGACCUUGCGCGAUUGAAUGAGCCGAUGUCGGAUUAGCUAGUUGGCGGGGUAAAGGCCCGCCAAGGCGACGAUCCGUAGCUGGUCUGAGAGGAUGAUCAGCCACACUGGAACUGAGACACGGUCCAGACUCCUACGGGAGGCAGCAGUGGGGAAUAUUGGACAAUGGGCGCAAGCCUGAUCCAGCCAUACCGCGUGGGUGAAGAAGGCCUUCGGGUUGUAAAGCCCUUUUGUUGGGAAAGAAAUCCAGCUGGUUAAUACCCGGUUGGGAUGACGGUACCCAAAGAAUAAGCACCGGCUAACUUCAUGCCAGCCGCCGCCGUAA